rnacentral:tRNA from 1 species
UAAAAUGUAGUUAAAUAAUAAUAAUAAUAAGUUUGUCAAACUAAAGUCACUAAGAUAGUCAUUUUAA